GCCUUGAUUGAGGUCCGUGAAAAAGGCAGACAAGAUGUUAAUCUAAGAGGCAGGCAUGUGGAGUGACGACAAGCUCUGAUACUGAGCCAGGUGGCCUGAGUUUUAAGUCCCAACUCAUUUGUUUCUAUGUGUGGGACCAUCGCCAGUUAUUACUUAAAGAGUAGAUGGCCUGAUACCUCUGAGUGUAUUACUUGAUACCUAUUAAAAACUGGAAAUUCUGCGGUGCAACUGUUUUAUAUAUAUAGUGCGGGGGUAAUUUCUUCAACUGUAAGUAAGAAGAGGCUCAAGUAAGUUUUCAAGUAUAACAUUUUAAAGGCACCUGUGUAAGAGCUGAAGUAGAUAAAACGUAAAAGCCAACAGUUUUGCAUUUGUUAAAGCAGAUUUUUUAAGGAACUCCAUGUGUCUUCUAGUGCACUAAAAAUACAUUCUCACCUUUGUUGUUUCUUGGGUAAUGUUGGGAAAGAAAGGACCCAAUUAUUCCCUGAUAGUAUAAUUUUACUUGUUUUACAGGACAGAAAGUUAUCUAAGCUCAAUAGUUCUGAGAAAUGUCUUCAUCUAGGAGCAUUCCCUCUGUUUCUUAGAAGUUUGAAUUUGGGAGAAAGGUUGACAAUCUGGGGGAAAAAAAAGACGAAGCGAAAGGAACAGCAUGCUCAGGAGGGCACACACCACGCCAGUUCCCUUGCUUCUAAUGGUUAUCACGUACCAACCCAAGUGGCUGCCGCCUUAUUAAUCAUCAUAUUCAUGAAAAGCUCUACUACUAUGAGAAGUAGAACCCUGUGCCCAUCCUCCACAGCACAGCAGUCUUGGCUGAUGAUGUAAGUGUGCCUUUCGGAGCUCCCUGCCACCCGGCUCCCUUGGGCCCGGUCCUGAGCAGAGCUCUUCCUGGCGCAGACACAAGUGUGAGAUCCUGGGAGUGAAAACCAGAAGCCGCUGCAAAUGUUUCCAAAAGUCCUGUCACCGAGGACCUUAUGCGGAUACUGUGCUGAUUUGCAUUCACUCUCCUGCUCAAAAAAUUGUGCGUGGGGAUGUCCUCUGUUCUACCUGGGUAGCUACAGUAGCAGAAGUCUGAGGCUAGAACUCUCUGGGCAGAGAGAAACUGUCGGCUACUAGUGUUCUGAGAAAGGCACAGGCAGGAGGAAUGCUUUGGAGAAAUAAAGACAAAUGAGCUAGGUCUGUUGCUGACAGUGCUAAAAACUGACAGAUACGCUAGUGUCGGAACGAGGCCUCAUGAAAUACAUAAAAAGACAGGAUUGUUUUCAAAAUGAAGUAUAAAGCAUCAUAAUGAUUUAUGGAUAUUAGACCUUUCCACAUUACCUUCAUAACCAAAGAAUAAAUGACAGAAGCAGUUAGCAUUGAUGGAGUAAUCUCCUGUAGCUAUCAUUUUAUUUUCAAUCUUGGAAUGAAUUACCUUGCUGUUCCUUGCCGUUCACUUUCAAACUCAGAUGAAUUGAAAGCACACCUGGAUAAACUGUAAAGGACACUGAGCCAGAGGAGAAAUAGGUCUCCUGUGAAGGUCUGUAUGAGCUGUUGGCUGUUCUGCCAGUCCAGCUGGGGCCACGUGUGGACAGCCAGGAAGACCUGACCUUCCUCUGGGAUAUGUUUGGUGAGAAAAGCCUGCAUUCACUGGUAAAGGUAAAAACCAUGCUGAUGUCAGAUUCUCUUGGUGGGAAAACAUGGAAAAACAUUUUGAGUGCUGUCUCAUAAACCAGAGAUCAAAUUGUUGCCUUCUGCAAGGCAGAACAAAUCAGCCUUGUUCCGUGAUGAGCAUGGAAGUUGUUAAAGAUUUUACCAAACAACCUAGAUGA